AUUUCGUUCACGAAACAUCCGGCAGCCUCCACGCUGCACCUACCUCUCCGAUGGCCCUCGAGCUCCGGUGGAUGGCACUGUGCCGCCGCCCGCGGCCGCCUGUGGACCUGCGCUCCGCCGCCGUUUGCGAGGCCCGGCGCUCUGCCGCUGCCGCCUGCACGCGGUCCUCCCCAAACCCUAGUCUCUUUUGUUUCCCCAGCAUCUUCAUUGCCGCCGUCACUGCUUCCUUCCAGGACGCCGGUCGCCGUCGAAAUUCGUCGUAUCCGAUCAGCCUCCUUCGAUUCAUCGCGGCCAUACCUUCACCUUUCCCUCCGCGGCCUAUUUGAGCCCUCACCCGCUCGACUUCUCCGCCGCAUAGCGCUCCCGGCGACCACCUCCGACAUCCCGAGGAUCUCCUUGGCCCCAGCGCCAACGGCGGGUCGUCGGCGAUGGGCAGAGCGGUCAAACAUGCCCACAGGCGGGUCCUUCCCCAUGAGCGGCUUCUUUUUCAAGGCUUCGCCUCAAGAUCUGCAGACGCUGACCUCUCCUCACCGUGUGCCUCUAGCGUCGCCGUUCGUCUUCUCAGCAUGACGGCCGCCGUGGCUGGCGGGACUCGGGAGCAAGAAGCGGCAGCAGCCGAACCUCCACGUCAAGUUGGCCUCACGCUAGCUGCAUGAGACUCCGGCAAUGGGAAGAAGAGACAUCGCCGCCGCAGAAGGUCACCAAGACGAACUCAUCUGACAGAGUCCACCCGCUCGGGCAACAUUUCCAGAUGGUGCUUUUUGUUCAUUAUUUUGCUGGCCAAGGCGGCCAACUGACCAAUCAGGUGAGUGCAAACAAAUCAGAUGUGUUAUUUCGGUCACCUUGAAGCUGCAGGCGGUAUGCACAUGGAUAGAUAUCAUUGACAUAGGGUUAGUGGACGCCCUCUGAAGGCUGUAUGUACCCUUUGCAAAUUAUCUGUCUAAUUUUAGACAAGAAAAAGGCAAAUGCUAUUUCUAAUUGCGGAUUCUCAUUGGCUUAUAUUGUUGACACAAAGUUCAUACACAAUGACAUUGAUUCUUGUGGAGUGAAGACGAGGCAGCAUCUGGGAAGGUGAAGCUGAUGGAGGGAGGGCGAUGUGGUGGAAGGAUCUCUCAUCGGCGGAGGCGUUCGUGGGGGCGGCGCCCAAAAGUCCAGGACGUCUGCAUCAUCUGCCUCGAGACCUUCUCCAGCAGCAACCCCUCUGCGGUGACCAUCUGCAAACACACUGUCCACCUCCAGGGCAUCCUUCAGCGGUGAGCCCCUGCUUUGUAAACCUGCAGCUGCUUCAUGAUGUGUAACAUCUUUCUACAGUUCUUCAUGUUCUUUUGAUAUCUGUGUUGCUAGGAUCGUAGUGGUUGCGUCUAGGAUUGCAUAGCCAUUUCGUGGAUAUAUUUCCCAAUCUUUUUUCUAAAGGCUAUUUCUAAAAGAAGAAGAAGAAGAAGAAGAAGAAGUUCACAGACUUUUUCUAAAUUGUUUUGAUGGAUCCCUUGCUUCUUGCAAUUUUUAUUAUACUACCUCCACAACUCUAUGAGUUAUAUACUCAUUUUGUACAUCCAUCAUCCAUAUCCAUAUGCAACUUUAAUAUAAUUUACACCUUGAUUGAUUGAACUGGCUCAUUUGAAUAAUUUAGUCCACUAAACUACAUAUACAUGGUACGUUGUCAAUCGACACAAUCCUUACAUACCUUUGCUGUUCUUAUGAUCUUUUAUAGUCCAAUGUUUAUGAUCUUUUAUAGUCCAGUGUUUUAUAGUCAAUGGGCAUCAGAAUGGACUCUUUCAAAGUAAGUUUAGGCUCUACUAAUUUAACUGCUCUUCGAUAAAGAUUCUUUACAGCUCUCAAACGUCACAUGGCACCUUUGCAUCAGUGCCAUCAAAUGUUCUGAAAAAUGUGUUUUAUCUAUAGGAGUAAAUUCACCAGUCCUUACUCAUGUGCUACAAUGUUCUGAAAAAUAUGAUUAUCUACAUAGAUGCUACCUUUAGUACUAUUGUACAUAAUUGUGCCUGUGUAUUUGAAUUCUAUUAUAAUAAUAAAUAAUGACCUAGCAGAUUCAAUGUA